AGGUGGGCAGCGUGGGCACAGGAGCCGGGGCUCCUGGACUCCCGGUCCAGGGCUCGGCGUCUCUCCUAGAGUCAGCGAUUCACCGAGCUCCUGCGCGGCGCUGACAGACCCAGGCUCCUCCCCAGGCAGAGCCGCGCUCUUCCCAGAGAUCACUUCGCCUACAGGCCACGCCCGGGGUCUGUAAUGCUGUUUCGUUCCAAGGUGUUGGGAAGGAGCAUUUCCUCCCUCUCAGGAAAUGGCCGGGUGAGCUGUGGUUCUUCUAAAGGGAGCUUUCCAAGGCUGCAGCCGGGAGCACGUUAACGUGUGCUCACAUAAAUAUCCUCCAACCUUGUUGUCUCAGCAAACAACUUUUUUCUCAUAUCUAAAAAAUAGCCAUUUAAUGAGCUUUACUUUUUCAAUUAACAUGACCUUCCACCCAUGAACCACA